GACACACGCAGAGGUAAGACCAUUUAAAGAUGGAAAGAAGAUUACUGUCUACAAGACAAGGAAAGAGGCCGUAGAAGAAACCAACCAGGCCAAAACUUUCAUCUCAGACUUCUAGCCUUCAGAACACUGAAUUAUUAGCAACCCACCCCUUUAUAUGGUAAUUUCUCAAUUUCCAGACUUGCAUCACAAGAAGAAAAGAAGAAAAAAGAGAUGUAACUAUGGGAAAUACUGGAUAUGUUAAUUCACUUGACCUGUAGUAAUCACUUCAUUAUAUAUGUAUACCAAAACAUCUUGCAGUACAACUUAAACAUACAGAAUUUUUUAAAAGACUGCAUCUUCAUGCUUGCUUAAGGACAUAAAUUUUCAGGAAUGGCGGAGGCAGAAGAAACCAUGCAGUUUAAACCCGUGUUGUUCAAGGGUCAACUGUAAAGCAACUCCAAAAUCACAGCAACAUAACACAACUAAGGGUUUACACUACUUGAUGUACAGAGAUUGGUAAGAGCCUCUUUUCAUGGUAGUCAAUUCAAGACGUCAGGUGAUGGACGCUGUUUCAACAUGUGCUUCCAAGAGAGCACUGUGAGAAAAUAAUCAUGUUCAUGG
rnacentral:lncRNA from 1 species